UACGUAGGGUGCGAGCGUUGUCCGGAAUUAUUGGGCGUAAAGAGCUCGUAGGCGGUGUGUCACGUCGAUCGUGAAAACUUGGGGCUUAACUCUGAGCUUGCGGUCGAUACGGGCAUCACUGGAGUUCGGCAGGGGAGACUGGAAUUCCUGGUGUAGCGGUGAAAUGCGUAGAGAUCCGGAGGAACACCAGGGGCGAAGGCGGCCGACUGGCCGAGUGCUGACGCUGAGGCGCGACGGCGUGGGGAGCAAACCGG
rnacentral:rRNA from 1 species